GACGAACUCUGGCGGCGUGCCUAAUACAUGCAAGUAGAGCGAAGCGGCGGAUGGGGGCGUAACGCGUGGGUAACAUGACCUUAAGUCUAGGAUACCAUUUGGAAACAGAUGCUAAUACCGGAUACUAAAGGAGGGACCUGCGAUGAAUUCGCUAGUUGGUAAGGUAACGGCUGACCAAGGCGAUGAUGCAUAGCCUAUUUGACAGACUGUGCGGCCACAUGGGGACUGAGACACUGCCCAAACUCCUACGGGAGGCAGCAGUAGGUAAUCGUCCACAAUGGACGAAAGUCUGAUGGAGCAACGCUGCGUGAGUGAAGAAGGUUUUCGGAUCGUAAAGCUCUGUUGUUGGUGAAGCGGUAAUCAACCAGAAAGUCACGGCUAACUACGUGCCAGCAGCCGCGGUAAUUC
rnacentral:rRNA from 1 species